rnacentral:rRNA from 1 species
UAGGGAAUCUUGGACAAUGGGCGAAAGCCUGAUCCAGCUAUGCCGCGUGAGUGAUGAAGGCCUUAGGGUUGUAAAGCUCUUUCGCCAGGGAAGAUAAUGACGGUACCUGGAUAAGAAGCCCCGGCUAACUUCGUGCCAGCAGCCGCGGUAAUACGAAGGGGGCUAGCGUUGUUCGGAAUUACUGGGCGUAAAGCGCACGUAGGCGGCUUUCCAAGUUGGAGGUGAAAUCCCCGGGCUUAACCCGGGAACUGCCUCCAAAACUGAAAGGCUAGAGUCCGAGAGAGGUGAGUGGAAUUUCCAGUGUAGAGGUGAAAUUCGUAGAUAUUGGAGAGAACACCAGUGGCGAAGGCGGCUCACUGGCUCGGUACUGACGCUGAGGUGCGACAGCGUGGGGAGCAAAC